rnacentral:tRNA from 1 species
GCCGGGGUGGUGAAAUAGGUAGACGCAGCGGACUCAAAAUCCGCCGGGGUGUAGGCCCCAUGCCGGUUCGAUUCCGGCCCUCGGCA